rnacentral:rRNA from 1 species
AUGAACGCUGGCGGCGUGCCUUAAGCAUGCAAGUCAAGGGGGCUCCGUAAGGAGCAACCGGCAGACGGGUGAGUAACGCGUAGGAAUCUACCUCUAGGUGGACCAUAGCUUAUCGAAAGAUGGGGUAAUAGUCCAUGGUCAAUUUAUUGUAAAGGAAUUAACUUUCCGCCAAGAGAUGAGCCUGCGUCCUAUCAGCUUGUUGGCGGGGUAAAAGCCCCCCAAGGCGAUGACGGGUAGCUGGACUGAGAGGUCGAUCAGCCACAACUGCACUGAGAUACGGGCAGUACAUCUACGGAUGGCAGCAACUGGGAAUAUUGCGCAAUGGACGAAAGUCUGACGCAGCGACGCCGCGUGGAGGAAGAGGGCCUUCGGGUUGUAAACUCCUUUUGAUAGACCCUUCACGGUCUAUAGAAUAAGCCUCUACUAACUACGUGCCAGAAGUCUCGGUAAUACGUAGGAGGCGAGCGUUAUCCGGAUUCAUUGGGCGUAAAGUGUGCGUAGGCUGUCUGAUGUGUCUUUUCUUAAAUACCGAAGCUUACCUUCGGGAGUGGGAAAGAAACUAUCAGACUUGAGGAUUGUCAGGGGUAUCGGAACAGUUAGUGUAGCAGUGAAAUGCGUUGAUAUUAACUGGAACACCAAUGGCGAAGGCAGAUACCUGGGAUUUUCCUAACGCUGAGGCACGACAGCUAGGGUAGCGAAACAGAUUAGAUACCUGUGUAGUCCUAGCCGUAAACGAUGUCUGCUAGCUUUCUCCGACUUGUCGGAUGAGGCGCAAGUUAACACGUUAAGCAGACCGCCUGGGGAGUACGGCCGCAAGGCUAAAACUCAAAGGAAUUGACGGGGACCCGCACAACCGGUGGAGCGUGUGGUUCAAUUCGAGACAAAACGAAAAACCUCACCAAGGUUUGACAUGUAACCGUACAUUUUUCUAGAAAUAGAGAGAAAUCCGCAAGGAUGGUUACACAGGUGCUGCAUGGCUGUCGUCAGCUCGUGCCGUGAGGUGUUCCCUUAAGUGGGGAAACGAGCGCAACCCGCGCGAAAUGUUGAAUUUAUUCAUUUCGGACUGACCCGAUUUUAUAUCGGGUAGGAAGGAGCGGAAGACGUCAAGUCAGCACGGCCCUUAUACCUUGGGCUACACACACACUACAAUGGCGAAAAACAAUGGGCAGCAAGCCGGCAACGGCAAGCAAAUCCCUGAAAUUUCGCCUCAGUUCAGAUUGGGGUCUGCAACCUGACCCCAUGAAGUUGGAAUCGGUAGUAAUCGCAAAUCAGCAUGUUGCGGUGAAUACGUUCUCGGGUCUUGUACACACCGCCCGUCAAGGCAGCAAAGUCGGUGGCUAUCGAAGUUCGAUUUUUUCGGUCGAGAUAGAAAUCGGCGAUGAAGCUU